UAAUGGCUUGUUUCCAGUUUUUGCUUUUGACUUUGCUACAAAUCCACUUCAAUUCAUCCUCCCAGCAUCCAAUGUUUCUUGUAUGGCCCAACCAUAUACAAUUCUUCUCCAUACUCUACUAGUAAUGGCACAUUCAAAGUAUAGAUGACUGAAAUCUUCUGCAAAGUAUUGGCAAAAUACACAGGCAGUUGGAACUAGAAUUCCCAUAUACUGAAGCCUCUCUAUAGUGGGAAGCUUCUGAUGAGCUGCCAACCAAGUUAU
rnacentral:lncRNA from 1 species